GAGUUGUAAUCUAGAGAAGUAAUGCCCGUGCUGGACCGUGUAUAAGUCUCCUGGGAUGGGGCGUCAUAGAGGGUGAGAAUCCCGUCUUUGACACGGACUACCAGUGCAUUGUGGUAUGCUCUCAAAGAGUCGAGUUGUUUGGGAAUGCAGCUCAAAAUGGGUGGUAAAUUCCAUCUAAAGCUAAAUAUUGGCGAGAGACCGAUAGCGAACAAGUACCGUGAGGGAAAGAUGAAAAGAACUUUGGAAAGAGAGUUAAACAGUACGUGAAAUUGCUGAAAGGGAAACGCUUGAAGUCAGUCGCGUUGGCCGGGGAUCAGCCUUGCUUUUGCAUGGUGUACUUUCUGGUUGACGGGUCAGCAUCAAUUUUGACCGCUGGAAAARGRCCUGGGGAAUGUGGCAGCUUCGGCUGUGUUAUAGCCCCUGGUCGCAUACAGUGGUUGGGAUUGAGGAACUCAGCACGCCGCAAGGCCGGGUUUCGACCACGUUCGUGCUUAGGAUGCUGGCAUAAUGGCUUUAAGCGACCCGUCUUGAAACACGGACCAAGGAGUCUAACAUGCCUGCGAGUAUUUGGGUGGAAAACCCGAGUGCGCAAUGAAAGUGAAAGUUGAGAUCCCUGUCGUGGGGAGCAUCGACGCCCGGACCAGAACUUUUGGGACGGAUCCGCGGUGGAGCAUGUAUGUUGGGACCCGAAAGAUGGUGAACUAUGCCUGAAUAGGGUGAAGCCAGAGGAAACUCUG
rnacentral:rRNA from 1 species